rnacentral:rRNA from 1 species
AACGUAGGAGACAAACGUUAUCCGGAGUUACUGGGCGUAAAGGGCGUGUAGGUGGUAUCGUAAGUCUGGCGUGAAAUUUCUCGGCUUAACCGAGGCAGGUCGUCGGAUACUGCGAGGCUAGAGGACGGUAGAGGCGUGUGGAAUUCCGGGUGUAGUGGUGAAAUGCGUAGAGAUCCGGAGGAACACCAGUGGCGAAGGCGGCCACCUGGACGGAUACUGACGCUGAGACGCGAAAGCGUGGGGAGCAAACAGG